GUGUCUCCAAUUCCCUCCGAGAGAGACAGACUCGCGUGGGCCGCCCCGCUCCCGGAGGAGGGCCGCGGAGAGAGGUGCGGUGUCACCGGAGCCCCUCCCCGCGCGGGGCCCCGUGGCGGACGCGGCCGAGCCCCGGGGGGAAGAGCCUGGGCCCCGGGGAGAAGGGCCACCGAGGCGGCGCCCCGCCGAGCCGAAAGCCGACAGCUUCAGAGCAGAGGCUGUGGCGGCGGCGGCUGGAGGGAGGGCAGGAGGCAGGCCCGCGCAUGGGGCGCCCCGGCCCCGCCGGCAGCGCGCCCCCCGGGGCCCGGCCGAGCUGACCGCUCCCGGCGCCGCCGCGCCUUGAACUCGCGCCCUGAGCCAUGCCGGUCAUGAAGGGGUUGCUGGCCCCGCAGAACACCUUCCUGGACACUAUCGCCACCCGCUUCGACGGCACGCACAGUAACUUCCUUCUGGCCAACGCACAAAGCCCACGGGGCUUUCCCAUCGUCUACUGCUCUGACGGCUUCUGCGAGCUCACGGGUUACGGCCGCACCGAGGUCAUGCAGAAAACCUGCAGCUGCCGCUUCCUCUACGGUCCCGAGACCAGCGAGUCAGCCCUGCAGAGGCUCCACAAGGCCCUAGAGGGCCACGAGGAGCACCGGACUGAGAUUUGCUUCUACCGGAAGGAUGGCUCAGGCUUUCGGUGCCUCCUGGACAUGAUGCCCAUCAAGAACGGGAUGGGGGAGGUGGUGCUUUUCCUCUUUUCCUUCAAGGACAUCACUCCGAGCGGAGGCCCGGGACCUGGCCCCUCAGAAAGCCAUGGGGACAGCAGUCACGAAAACUCCCUUGGCAGGAGGGGAGCCAGCUCAAGACUUCGAUUCGCCCGGAGACAGAACCGCACUGUCCUGCGCAGACUGACUGGCCGCUUUGGCCGCCGGGGCCAGGGAAGCAUGAAAACCAAUCAUAGCGUGUUUGAGCCAAAGCCAUCCGUGCCCGAGUACAAGGUGGCCUCCGUGGGGGGGUCCCGCUGCCUCCUCCUCCACUACAGCGUCCCCAAGGCCGUGUGGGACGGCCUCAUCCUCCUCGCCACCUUCUACGUCGCCGUCACCGUCCCCUACAACGUCUGCUUCUUGGGCGACGACGACACCCCCGUCGCUUCCCGACACACCCUGGUCAGCGACGUCGCCGUGGAGAUGCUCUUCAUCCUGGAUAUCAUUCUGAACUUCCGCACCACCUACGUGUCCCAGUCCGGCCAGGUGGUCUCCGCUCCUCGUUCCAUCGGCCUCCACUACCUGGCCACCUGGUUCUUUGUCGACCUGAUUGCUGCUCUGCCUUUCGACCUGCUUUACAUCUUCAACAUCACCGUGACGUCGCUGGUGCACCUGCUGAAGACGGUGCGGCUGCUGCGGCUGCUGCGGCUGCUGCAGAAGGUGGAGCGGUACUCGCAGUGCAGUGCCGUGGUGCUCACGCUGCUCAUGUCCGCCUUUGCGCUCCUCGCCCACUGGAUGGCCUGCGUCUGGUAUGUUGUCGGGCGCCGGGAGAUGGAGGCCAACGACCCACUGCUCUGGGACAUCGGCUGGCUGCAUGAGCUGGGCAAGCGGCUGGAGGUGCCCUAUGUCAACAGCUCGGCGGGCGGCCCGUCCGGGCGGAGCGCCUACAUCGCCGCGCUCUACUUCACGCUCAGCAGCCUCACCAGCGUGGGCUUCGGCAACGUGUGCGCCAACACCGACGUUGAGAAGAUCUUCUCCAUCUGCACCAUGCUCAUAGGCGCGCUGAUGCACGCCGUGGUGUUCGGGAACGUGACGGCCAUCAUCCAGCGCAUGUACUCGCGCCGCUCGCUCUACCACAGCCGCAUGAGGGACCUCAAGGACUUCGUCCGCCUGCACCGCCUGCCGCGGCCGCUCAAGCAGCGCAUGCUCGAGUACUUCCAGACCUCGUGGGCCGUCAACAGCGGCAUCGACGCCAACCAGUUACUGCGUGACUUCCCGGAUGAGCUGAGAGCGGACAUCGCUCUGCACCUGAAUCGGGAGAUCCUGCAGCUGCCGCUGUUUGGAGCAGCCAGCAGGGGCUGCCUGCGGGCCCUCUCCCUGCACAUCAAGACCUCAUUCUGUGCUCCGGGCGAGUACCUGCUGCGCCGAGGGGAUGCUCUGCAGGCACACUACUACGUCUGCUCAGGCUCGCUGGAGGUGCUCCGUGACAACAUGGUGCUGGCCAUCCUGGGAAAGGGGGACCUGAUUGGGGCAGACACCAUUGAGCCAGGACAGGAGCCUGGGUCAGGAGCAGGCCCGAGCUGCGUGCUGAAGACCAGCGCUGACGUGAAGGCACUGACCUACUGUGGCCUGCAGCAGCUGAGCAGCCGAGGGCUGGCGGAGGUCCUGAGGCUCUAUCCUGAGUACGGGGCUGCCUUCCGGGCUGGGCUGCCCCGGGACCUCACCUUCAACCUGCGCCAGGGCUCUGACACCAAUGGCCUCAGCCGCUUCUCCCGGUCCCCUCGAUCCCCUCGGCCCUCCCAGCCCCACUCCGAAAGCCUUGGCUCCUCCUCAGACAAGACCCUGCCGUCCAUCACCGAGGCCGAGGCUGAGUCGGAGCGUGGAGGCGGUCCCAGGCCCCGCCGGCCCCUCCUGCUGCCCAGCCUCAGCCCAGCAAGGCCCCGGGGCUCCCUGGUCAGCCUUUUGGGCGAGGAGCUGCCUCCAUUCUCAGCCCUCGUCUCUUCCCCUUCCCUGUCCCCAUCCUCGUCCCCUGCCUUGGCUGGCCGAGGACACGGCCCCUCCUCUCGUGGCCCCCCCAGGGGCUUUGCUGCCAGGAAGCCCCCUCAGCUUCUCAUUCCUCCACUGGGAACCUUUGGAACUUCGGACCUCAGUCCUCGCAUAGUGGACGGCAUCGAGGACGCCGGCAGCACAGCAGAGGCCCCCACAUUCCAGUUCGGCAGGAGGCCUGAGCACCCUGGGCCCCGCUCUCAGGCCUCCCCUCCAGGGACCAGGCCCAGCCAGGAGCUGGCCACUGAAGCGGAGGAGAUGAUGGAAAAGGUCUGCAGGCUAAACCAGGAGAUCUCCUGCCUCAACCAAGAAGUGUCUCAGCUCAGCCAGGAGCUCCGGCACAUGAUGGGCCUGCUGCAGGCCAGGCUGGGUCCCCCAGGCCACCCGACAGGCUCAGCGUGGCCCUCAGACCCUCCGUGCCUCCAGUGGAGGCCUCCACGCAUCUCUCCCUGUCGGUCGGGACCGCCAUCUAGCAUCCAGGAUACUACUCUCGCUGAGGUCCACUGCCCAGCCAAUGUGGGGACAGCAGAGAUGGGGGCUGCCCACCCCAACCUCAGACCCUACAUGUUGUCCCCCUACCCUUCAGAACCUGACCCUCUGGGACCCUCCCCAGUGCCAGAGGCCUCACUUCCAACUCCCAGCUUCCGGUCCAGGUCGGACACAUUCCACUGACUCUGGCCCUGGGCCCAGGCCUGUCUGGGGUGGGCAUUGCCACCUGCCACCAGGGAGGGGCUGAGCCCAGGGCCUCCUGCCUCGGGUCAGCAGCCACCAGCUGGUCUGGUUGGCUCUGGAUUCUCAGGACCUUUUUCAUAAAGCCUGGUCACUUCUGACCCUCUUUCCUUCUCCGAACCUUCUCCUACACUCCUCCUUUGGGAGGGGCGUUACCUCAGGCCAUGGAGCCCAACAGGCAUGAGACAGAGCACGAUGCCCAUCGGCUGGGCAGAUGAGAUGUCCCGCCUUCUCCUCAGGACCUGGAGGCAGGCUGUCACUAAAGGUGGUCUCUUCUGUUGCCAACAACUUGAAACAGCUCCAGCAGCACUGCUGCCCCUCCCCUGCCUCCAGGCUUCAGCCAAGCCUGCUCUCCCCUUUACCCACAUGGUCUCCCUCGGAGCCCUGACUUCUCAGUCUCACCCUGGUCUCCAGUUCUCCUUUACCGCUCGACACUUUGGGAUAGGAAAUAAAUUCUUUAUUUUUGUA